rnacentral:rRNA from 1 species
CAGUCGCCGCGGGAAUACAGAGGGUGCAAGCGUUAAUCGGAUUUACUGGGCGUAAAGCGUGCGUAGGCGGCUUUUUAAGUCGGAUGUGAAAUCCCUGAGCUUAACUUAGGAAUUGCAUUCGAUACUGGGAAGCUAGAGUAUGGGAGAGGAUGGUAGAAUUCCAGGUGUAGCGGUGAAAUGCGUAGAGAUCUGGAGGAAUACCGAUGGCGAAGGCAGCCAUCUGGCCUAAUACUGACGCUGAGGUACGAAAGCAUGGGGAGCAAACAGGAUUAGAUACCCGCGUAGUCCCUGUCUCUUAUAC